GAUGAACGCUGGCGGCGUGCUUAACACAUGCAAGUCGAACGGUGAAGGCGGAGCUUGCUCUGCUGGAUCAGUGGCGAACGGGUGAGUAACACGUGAGCAAUCUGCCCCUGACUCUGGGAUAAGCGCUGGAAACGGCGUCUAAUACUGGAUACGAGCUGCGAAGGCAUCUUCAGCAGCUGGAAAGAACUUCGGCCAGGGAUGAGCUCGCGGCCUAUCAGCGUGUUGGUGAGGUAAUGGCUCACCAAGGCGUCGACGGGUAGCCGGCCUGAGAGGGUGACCGGCCACACUGGGACUGAGACACGGCCCAGACUCCUACGGGAGGCAGCAGUGGGGAAUAUUGCACAAUGGGCGAAAGCCUGAUGCAGCAACGCCGCGUGAGGGACGACGGCCUUCGGGUUGUAGACCUCUUUUAGCAGGGAAGAAGAGAAAGUGACGGUACCUGCAGAAAAAGCGCCGGCUAACUACGUG
rnacentral:rRNA from 1 species